rnacentral:lncRNA from 1 species
CCAUUGCCUGGUUAAUAGUUGCUGUUGCUGCACUUCCGCUUCUCUCCCAGCGAGAGCGAGACACGAGUGGCCAGGCCCAGCCGCAGCCGCAGCAGCAGCGAUCCAGAAGGAGCUGGCAGACAUCACUUUAGACCCGCCGCCAAACUGCAGUGCUGGUCCCAAAGGUGACAACAUCUAUGAGUGGAGAUCAACCAUUCUGGGGCCUCCAGGGUCUGUGUAUGAAGGUGGAGUCUUCUUCCUCGACAUCACUUUUACACCAGAGUAUCCCUUCAAGCCUCCAAAGGUUACGUUUCGUACAAGAAUUUAUCACUGUAAUAUUAAUAGCCAAGGAGUUAUCUGCUUGGACAUAUUGAAAGACAACUGGAGCCCAGCACUAACCAUCUCGAAAGUCCUCCUCUCUAUCUGCUCACUCCUUACAGACUGCAAUCCUGCCGACCCUUUGGUGGGAAGCAUUGCCACUCAGUAUAUGACCAACAGAGCAGAGCACGACAGAAUGGCCAGACAGUGGACCAAGAGAUACGCUACAUAAACUGGGUUUUCACAGUUCUUACAUGAUUGUCUGUCACAGAAGAGAGCUGCUUAUGAUUUUGAAAGGGUGGGGGUGGGAGUUGGUAAAGAGUAGGGUAUUUCUAUAACAGAUAUUAUUCAGUCUUACUUCCCAGGAUUUUGUUGUAACUUAAGGUAUCUUGCUACAGUAGACACAGUGGUAAUAGCGACUUUUAGAGCUGUCACUUUGCA